rnacentral:rRNA from 1 species
CGGCGAGUGAAGCGGCAAAAGCUCAGAUUUGAAAUCUGGCGUCAUUUUGGCGUCCGAGUUGUAAUCUGUAGAGGUGUAUUCGAGUGUGGCUUUGGCUUAAGUUCCUUGGAACAGGACGUCAUAGAGGGUGAGAACCCCGUUAACGGCCUUUGUCUUAUGCUCAUGUGAAUCUCCUUCAACGAGUCGAGUUGUUUGGGAAUGCAGCUCUAAAUGGGUGGUAAAUUCCAUCUAAAGCUAAAUACUGGCAAGAGACCGAUAGCGCACAAGUAGAGUGAUCGAAAGAUGAAAAGAACUCUGAACAGAGAGUUAAAUAGUACGUGAAAUUGUUGAAAGGGAAGCACUUGCGACCAGACGCACUUGCAGCUGAUCAACUUCCAUUCUUGGAGGUGCACUCAGUUGUUUGUGGGUCAGCAUCAGUUAUGGCGGUGGGAAAAAGACCAAGGGAAUGUGGCUCCUUUCGGGGAGUGUUAUAGCCCCUGGUGAAAUGCUGCCUGCUGUGACUGAGGACCGCGCUUCGGCGAGGAUGCUGACAUAAUGGUCGUAAGUGACCCGUCUUGAAACACGGACCAAGGAGUCUAACAUCUAUGCGAGUGUUUGGGUGUUCAAACCCUUACGCGUAAUGAAAGUAAAUGGAGGUGGGAACCGUAAGGUGCACCAUCGACCGAUCCUGAUGUUCUCGGAUGGAUUUGAGUAGGAGCAUAGCUGUUGGGACCCGAAAGAUGGUGAACUAUGCCUGAAUAGGGUGAAGCCAGAGGAAACUCUGGUGGAGGCUCGCAGCGGUUCUGACGUGCAAAUCGAUCGUCAAAUUUGGGUAUA